GCCGCCGCACAUCGGUCGGGCGCGGCGAUCGGUGCUCGCGGGAACCCGACAAACGAUGAGCGUGACAUUUUCCUAACUUGCAUCGAGCGUGCGCGGUGACGAAGCAGUGACCAAAGCAAGCAGGCUGCUAAACUGAGAGCGGAUAGUAAAUUCGGAGAAGCGUCUGGAAAGGCAGCGGGCAUAUAUGCCAGCAUAUUCGCUGCUACUGCCCGGUGGCAGGCCGGAAAUUAUCCGCACCGAGGGACGGGCAUAUCCGGCCAUCAUCCUUCCUCUCGAUGCGCAGCUGGUCGUCGUCGUAGACCCCACCGCGCCACGCGACGCCCGUCGGCCGUUGCGCGCAGAUCUCGGGAUCCUCAGUGCCCGCCCAUUCCUGUCGCCGUUCCGUUUCACGUGCGGUGCCCGCGGUCCUCAGCAAUUCGAAAAGGAAUCACGUGUCCUGCCCCAGCAGCGCAAGUGCCCAACCGAACAUGGAAAAGCGUCGAGCCACCAAAGACGCUAGAGACAUCUACGCCACAGAGGAUCCCGGGCAGCCGGAUUCCACACCGUCCGCGUCGGACAAACACGCGGGGGUCGCCGCCGCUUGCCGUCGUCGGCGGCCACCCAACCUUCUGGACCACACCUGCUAUCUAUCCCAGUCACAGCCACAGAACCAACCAGACGGAGCCACGUAGGCAGAGCACCAUUCACGCCCCAAGCAAAACGAGCAAUUUCCCCUUCAUCAAACCAAAGAUCAAAGCCCGCUUGGCGUUCGUUCGUUGGUUUAGCCG
rnacentral:lncRNA from 1 species